rnacentral:rRNA from 1 species
AACAUAGGGGGCAAGCGUUGUCCGGAAUCACUGGGCGUAAAGGGCGCGCAGGCGGUUUUUUAAGUCAGGUGUGAAAGUUCGGGGCUCAACCCCGUGAUGGCACCUGAUACUGGAAGACUUGAGUAUGGGAGAGGUAAGUGGAAUUCCUAGUGUAGCGGUGAAAUGCGUAGAUAUUAGGAGGAACACCAGUGGCGAAGGCGGCUUGCUGGACCAAAACUGACGCUGAGGCGCGAAAGCGUGGGGAGCAAACAGG